CAAUUUUACUAAGAGUUUUAUCUUUUUCAUGGCUACCAGAUUGUUGGGAUGGACCGAUGAAAUGUACUUGUUUGCUGUGUGUCAUGGUGAUUUCAAAGGGGUUUGUAGGUAUUACUUUAGAUGAUUUGGUCAGUAAAUGGAGAGACAUGCUAGAAAUUUAUAACUAAUUUUUUAGUCACAAAUCCUUUUGGAGUUAAGUCCAUUUGUAUUACAUUUUAAAAUGGCCUUGAAACUAAGGCAACCAGGUUUAUUAUUGAAACUCCAACCGUUUCAUAAUAGUUUUGACACCAAUCAUGAUGUGUAUUUUUCAAUUAUUUUAAAUUGAAAUGGUACAUGUAAUUGGAGCUAAGAUGGUGGAUUUUUUUAUGUGUACUUCCUUUUUCAUUCUAAGCUCUACUCGUUUUCCGUUUACAUUCUAUUUGCUAAGUUCAACUCAGUUUUACUAUGAUAACUUUUUAUUAAUUUUUCAUCCUAUACAACUCCACUUUGUAAGGCCCAAAUUUAUCUAAUGAAACCCAUACUCUUUAUCUCUCUCCUCUUUAAAGAAAAAGUACCCACAUGCAUGGUCCCCUUUUCCUUUUUUUCUAGGUUUGCGUAGCUACAAGAAAAUGGAGGGAGUAGAUGAUAAGUUAUUGUAGUUAAUAACUUCAGGAUAGAUAAAAUUAGCUUGGGACAAAUGGGAUGAGUUAAUAAUAUCAAUCACAUAAAUAUUAUAGAAAUUUGAUUGGAAAUGAGUUUGGGCUUUUUUAGAGGACAAUAUGAUAAUUACAAUGUUCGAUGACAUUUCAUAAUAAGGUCUUGCUCUCUUCACCUAAAUCUACAUUUAUUGAUAAAAAAUUAAUUUACUUUUAUUGAUUUAAAUUAUUUUUGCUGAUUUAACUUAAUUGAAUUACUUAAUAAAAUAAACUCUUGCUUAUUUACUUCCUCCGUUCUAGUAUUAUUGCAACAACUGGACUUUUACUCUAUUCAUCACACUUGUUUGAUCACGUGUUAUGACUUAUACAUAAAGUAAAAUGUAGUCAUGUGGGGUUUUUUUAGAUUCGUCUCGUAAUAUACUUUCACAAUAUCAACUAUUAUAAUUUUUACUCUUAUCUAAUUAUAGAUAUUCAGCAUAUAAAGUGUGCUUUGAGAUGCGUUAUUUCAUCCUUGUUGCAUUAUUUGUGGAACAGAGGAAGUAUUGAUUUUUACUGAUUAAAAUUGAAUUUUACUUAAUAAUUUAUUUGUUUAGUUGUUGAGGACAGACCGAUUGCAUUAUUGCCAUUUGAGGUGUUUGAUACCCAACUUAUGGGUUAGCCAUUUUUCAGAGAUAUAUUUGUUGUCUCGGCUUUAUUACUUUUUUGCUCCAAUCUCUCCCUCCCCUCCAUGCCCUUGGAAUUCUGGUUAUCAUGUGCACUGUAAGAAACUUAUUAAGCCAUUACUUUAUUGAAAUGCCAUUGUUUUUACUUGAUUUGUCAUGUUAAAAUUUUGUUUGCGUUAUCUUUAAAGAUGUGCUGGGGCAGGACAUAUACGUGAUGAUAUUGUUUACUACACUAAGGAACUGAAGCAAGUCUGUGAUGGCAAUGAGGAGCAUCAGGCAUACCUAAUUGACAUGGGUGUAAAGGCGUUAAGGAGGUAUUUUUUUCUGAUAACAUUGAGGUCGUACCUUUAUUGUGUUGAUGGAGCUGAGACUACAUUCUCAAGUUGGAUGGAUUCUCGGCCUGAACUGGGCUAUCUCUGUGAUCACCUUAGAAUUGAUAAAUAAUUUCAAAACAAUAACAAUAUUCUUUUAUAUAAAGUUAUUUUCUGCAUGUGAAUAGAUUGUACAAAGUUAUUUUGUCAUGUAUUUCUUGCAUUUAAUUUGCCUGAAAAAUUUACAUUAGUCUUGUUGACAAGGUUACGAUCCAAUCUUCUAAUAAAAAUGUAAUGUCCUGUUUUCGGAUGUCA